AGUUUGAUCAUGGCUCAGAUUGAACGCUGGCGGCACCCCUAACACAUGCAAGUCGAGCGGUAACACAGAGAGCUUGCUCUCGGGUGACGAGCCCCGGACCCCUGAGUAAUGUCUGGGAAACUGCCUGAUGGACCCGGAUAACUACUGGAAACGGUAGCUAAUACCGCAUAACGUCGCAAGACCAAAGUGGGGGACCUUCGGGCCUCAUGCCAUCAGAUGUGCCCAGAUGGGAUUAGCUAGUAGGUGGGGUAAUGGCUCACCUAGGCGACGAUCCCUAGCUGGUCUGAGAGGAUGACCAGCCACACUGGAACUGAGACACGGUCCAGACUCCUACGGGAGGCAGCAGUGGGGAAUAUUGCACAAUGGGCGCAAGCCUGAUGCAGCCAUGCCGCGUGUAUGAAGAAGGCCUUCGGGUUGUAAAGUACUUUCAGCGAGGAGGAAGGCGUUAAGGUUAAUAACCUUGGCGAUUGACGUUACUCGCAGAAGAAGCACCGGCUAACUCCGUGCCAGCAGCCGCGGUAAUACGGAGGGUGCAAGCGUUAAUCGGAAUUACUGGGCGUAAAGCGCACGCAGGCGGUCUGUCAAGUCGGAUGUGAAAUCCCCGGGCUCAACCUGGGAACUGCAUUCGAAACUGGCAGGCUAGAGUCAAGUAGAGGGGGGUAGAAUUCCACCUGUAGCGGUGAAAUGCGUAGAGAUCUGGAGGAAUACCGGUGGCGAAGGCGGCCCCCUGGACUUUGACUGACGCUCAGGUGCGAAAGCGUGGGGAGCAAACAGGAUUAGAUACCCUGGUAGUCCACGCCGUAAACGAUGUCGACUUGGAGGUUGUGCCCUUGAGGCGUGGCUUCCGGAGCUAACGCGUUAAGUCGACCGCCUGGGGAGUACGGCCGCAAGGUUAAAACUCAAAUGAAUUGACGGGGGCCCGCACAAGCGGUGGAGCAUGUGGUUUAAUUCGAUGCAACGCGAAGAACCUUACCUACUCUUGACAUCCAGAGAACUUAGCAGAGAUGCUUUGGUGCCAACGGGAACUCUGAGACAGGUGCUGCAUGGCUGUCGUCAGCUCGUGUUGUGAAAU
rnacentral:rRNA from 1 species